rnacentral:tRNA from 1 species
AACUGCACCCGGAGAAGUCUUGGUUCAGCGUCAUAGGACCCGGGUUCGAUUCCCGGCAGCUCCACCA